UAUUAGCGGAAUGAUGGGAUGCAAGUGA
rnacentral:sRNA from 1 species